rnacentral:rRNA from 1 species
GCUUACGGCCACACCGCCUGGUUCACGCCCCGAUCUCGUUUGAUCUCGGAAGAUAAGAUAGGUUGGGCCUGGUUAGUACUUGGAUGGGAGACCGCCUGGGAAUACCAGGUGCUUUAAGCU